AAGAUCUUUGAUUCGAGAUUCUUCAACCAUUCAUUUCCAUGCAACAGUGUUCACCAGUUUUACCAGGAAUAUUAUUCAUAAAUAGAAACAGAAAAGAAGUAUAAACUUCCCACGCGAUGGCACUUCAAGCAUAAAGGCUGAUUCACAUCAAGCCAUUUGACUUCGAGAUAUUUAAACUGAAGUUGAUUUUAAAAUUGCAAUCAUUAAAUUGCAUUCUCAAUAAAUUAAAUUGAAAAAAAUUUCUAUCGCAGUUUUAUCUAUUCUCUUAAAAUUUACCAAGAUUUGAUUGUUAAUCGGAAUUGUUAAGAGCAGAAACCGAGCACACGUCUGAGAGCCGAAAGAAGAGAGAAGAAGGAAGAGAAGAUCAACGGUCAAUGUUCUGCUUCUCGUGCUAUUCUAAAUACAUUUUAAUAUACGAGGAAACUCGAUUCGAAGAAACACCGUUGAUAGAUGAUAAAUGUAUCCUCGAGUGGAAUGAAGAAAGAUCGACCGCGAGGAUGGUCAAGGAUUUGAGGAAAAAGAAAAUUUUGAAAGG